rnacentral:rRNA from 1 species
UACGGAGGUCUCAAGCGUUGUUCGGAUUCAUUGGGCGUAAAGGGUGUGUAGGUGGCGCGCUAAGUCGGGUGUGAAAUUUCGGAGCUUAACUCCGAAACUGCAUUCGAUACUGGCGUGCUUGAGGACUGGAGAGGAGACUGGAAUUUACGGUGUAGCAGUGAAAUGCGUAGAUAUCGUAAGGAAGACCAGUGGCGAAGGCGGGUCUCUGGACAGUUCCUGACACUGAGACACGAAGGCCAGGGGAGCAAACGGG